AAGAGCCGCAGUAACAGUACGCGAGGCCAGCGCCAGCAGCGCCGGCCCACCCGCACGAGCCGCAGCCGUCCACGUCAGCGAGGAGGGCCCAGCAGCUCCCGCGCCGCGGCCGCGCCUACGCGAGUGCCAGACCGGGCAACGACAGAAGACGCCGCUACUAGAGGUACC